rnacentral:rRNA from 1 species
UACGGAGGGGGCAAGCGUUGUUCGGAAUUACUGGGCGUAAAGGGCGCGUAGGCGGCUUGGCAAGUUGGGCGUGAAAGCCCUGGGCUUAACCCAGGAAUUGCGCUUGAGACUGCCGGGCUUGAGUGCGGGAGAGGUGAGUGGAAUUCCCAGUGUAGAGGUGAAAUUCGUAGAUAUUGGGAAGAACACCAGUGGCGAAGGCGACUCUUUGGCCUGUAACUGACGCUGAGGCGCGAAAGCGUGGGGAGCAAACAGG